AGCAGCCGCGGUAAUUCCAGCUCCAAUAGCGUAUAUUAAAGUUGUUGCAGUUAAAAAGCUCGUAGUUGAAUUUCGGGAUUGACGUGAUGGUCGUGCCUUAAGGGGUAUGAACUGUUGCUGUUGAUUUCUCACCUUCUGGAGAAACUUGAUGUCCUUAAUUGGGUGUCUUGCGGAUCCAGGACCUUUACCUUGAAAAAAUUAGAGUGUUUAAAGCAGGCAUUUUGCUCGAAUACAUUAGCAUGGAAUAAUAGAAUAGGACGGCAUGGUUCUAUUUUGUUGGUUUCUAGGAUCACCGUAAUGAUUAAUAGGGAUAGUUGGGGGCAUUAGUAUUCAAUUGUCAGAGGUGAAAUUCUUGGAUUUAUUGAAGACUAACUACUGCGAAAGCAUUUGCCAAGAAUGUUUUCAUUAAUCAAGAACGAAAGUUAGGGGAUCGAAGACGAUCAGAUACCGUCGUAGUCUUUAACCAUAAACUAUGCCGACUAGGAAUCAGACGAUGUUAAUUUUUAAUGUACUCGUUUGG
rnacentral:rRNA from 1 species